rnacentral:rRNA from 1 species
GAUGAACGCUAGCGGCAGGCCUAAUACAUGCAAGUCGAACGAUAUUUUCCAGCUUGCUGGGAGAGAAAGUGGCGCACGGGUGCGUAACGCGUAUGCAACCUACCUUUAUCAGGGGGAUAGCCCGGAGAAAUCCGGAUUAAUACCGCAUAAAAUCACAGAACGGCAUUGUUCAAUGAUCAAACAUUUAUGGGAUAAAGAUGGGCAUGCGUGUCAUUAGCUAGUUGGCGGGGUAACGGCCCACCAAGGCGACGAUGACUAGGGGAUCUGAGAGGAUGGCACACAACACUGGUACUGAGAAACAGACCAGACUCCUACGGGAGGCAGCAGUAAGGAAUAUUGGUCAAUGGAGGCAACUCUGAACCAGCCAUGCCGCGUGCAGGAAGACUGCCCUAUGGGUUGUAAACUGCUUUUAUCCGGGAAUAAACCUCCGAUCGUGAUCGGAGCUGAAUGUACCGGAAGAAUAAGGAUCGGCUAACUCCGUGCCAGCAGCCGCCGUAA